AUUGAACGCUGGCGGCAUGCCUUACACAUGCAAGUCGAACGGCAGCGGGGACUUCGGUCCGCCGGCGAGUGGCGAACGGGUGAGUAAAGUAUCGGAACGUGCCUCUCAGUGGGGGAUAACGUAGCGAAAGUUACGCUGAUACCGCAUAUUCUGUGAGCAGGAAAGCAGGGGAUCGCAAGACCUUGCGCUGAUUGAGCGGCCGAUAUCAGAUUAGCUAGUUGGUGAGGUAAAGGCUCACCAAGGCGACGAUCUGUAGCGGGACUGAGAGGUUGAUCCGCCACACUGGAACUGAGACACGGUCCAGACUCCUACGGGAGGCAGCGGUGGGGAAUUUUGGACAAUGGGGGCAACCCUGAUCCAGCCAUGCCGCGUGAGUGAAGAAGGCCUUCGGGUUGUAAAGCUCUUUCGGCCGGGAAGAAAUCGUAUGGGUUAAUACCCUGUGCGGAUGACGGUACCGGCAUAAGAAGCACCGGCUAACUACGUGCCAGCCGCCGCAGUAAUAC
rnacentral:rRNA from 1 species